ACGAGUAUUUUAUUUCCACUCCAUCUUAGUCCGCCGCCGUUCCUAGCCGCCGGCCGGUGAACUCGACCGGAACCACCCUGCCAUGCGCACCACCCUUCACGCCCCUGUUUCUCUGCGGCUGGCCUUCGUGGAUCCUACCAGUCUACCGCCCACCACGGCGACCUUAUCCCCAGUCCUCCAGCAAUGGCCGCACCCGCCUGCGGUCGCCAGCUCGUCUGCGGGCUUAAUCUGAGCCGGAGGAGGAAGAAGAAGAAGGUCAAAACUUUGAAGCGGCAAAAGCCGAACUACAUCUUAUAGGAUGCGUACACAGCAUAUAUUUGAUGUCUCAGUAGCAGUUAUUAUUAUUAUUAUUAUUAUUAUUAUUAUUAUUAUUAUUAUUAUUAGACUCAGUAAUGUUCACUUCCUUUUUCUCAAUCGGGUUGUUAUUUCCUCGCUGCUUACUUAACACUGCCUCUCUGUUCCCUUCCCAAAAAGCAGGGGAAAUAGUUGCAUUUUUAAAGGACAGCAGAUAGAAGAUACUAAAGACAAGUAUUGCCUGUGACAUGGCACUGUAAUGACCGCCUGGAGUAUGGUGUUUCAGGUGGGGGCACCUAGCAGCGGGUUUUCUAUUAGUGCAUCAAACUCGCUCUCUCUUUCUUGUCUCAUUACUAUCACGCCCCGAAUGCAGCGUCGUUGGGAGAAGCGUCGAGGUGUCGAGCUUGUGCCAUGGCCAAAUGUGACAAUGUAAGCUGAAGCAAACGGUCCAAGCUGAACCAGCGCAACCGCAGGACAAUAUUCAGACUGAAGCUAAUACUGUCGAAGCUGAACCAGUGGAAGUGCGGAGCAACGUUCAGACUGAAGAUACUAUUGAUGAUCUGGCUGGUGGGACCCUCAAGUCAGUUCGACCACCAGCCCCGUGCACGAAGUACUCCAAAGACGACUGUGUCCUAUGUUAGCAGUGGGGAUGAUUUUGGAAUCCGACGGGUCACUUUUCGUGCGGACGAAGGGCCCAGAUUUAGGCAUCUGUUCUCCUUCCAUCUCUCUUGUCUCUGUAAUCGGAUUGCUGGAUUGAAUCAAACACUUGAGUGAGAGAAAAUCGAAGAUCCCUGUUGCUGUUGUUGCUACUAGUAGGAUCAUAACACCUACGUUCUGUACGAACUGAAUAUUUCCUGUGGUAAAUGGAAAGGGGACAAGCCCGGUUCAGGGAAAAAAGCGACUGCACUGUGAGAAUUACACAAGCAGAUUCUGCAAAGAAGUGGUGGCCCAGUGCGAAAAUUGCUUGUUAUAAUUUAUUCAUUUCCUUCUAAAAAGAAAAAAAAAAUCCGUUUUGAGAACUCAUCGCCGAAUGUGAAAAGAGAGCUAGCCCAGUCCUAAAGGAAUAGAGAACCAUUCUAGCUCCAGUGACGGGGACGAAGGACUUUGUCAACUUACUCAAUAUAAACGAUUGUAACUCUAGUGACCGUACGAUGUCCAUUCAACAGCCGUAGUGCUUCUUCAA